GACGAACGCUGGCGGCGUGCUUAACACAUGCAAGUCGAACGGAAAUUCCCUGCUUUUGUGGGGUUCUCGAGUGGCGAACGGGUGAGUAACACGUGAGUAACCUGCCCUUGACUUUGGGAUAACUUCAGGAAACUGGGGCUAAUACCGGAUAGGAGCUCCUACUGCAUGGUGGUGGUUGGAAAGUUUGCGCGGUUGGGGAUGGACGUGCGGCUUAUCAGCUUGUUGGUGGGGUAGUGGCUUACCAAGGCUUUGACGGGUAGCCGGCCUGAGGGGGUGAACGGCGACAUUGGGACUGAGAUACGGACCAGACUCCUACGGGAGGCAGCAGUGGGGAGUAUGACACAAUGGGCGGACGCCUGAUGCAGCAACGCCGCGAGCGGGAUGACCGCCUUCGGGUUGUAAACCGCUUUCGCCUGUGACGAAGCGUGAGUGACGGUAACGGGUAAAGAAGCACCGGCUAACUACGUG
rnacentral:rRNA from 1 species